GGGCUGCUCUCGGACAUGCACCAGGGCCCGUGCACAGAUAGAGGGAACUGCAUUUCCCACCAGGUACCACUGCUUGCCACAUGGCGAUCCGCCGGUACCUUUUUCUCACAUGCAAUCAAAAUACACAUUUUGACAUCGUGUGCCGUCGCCAAAGCCCAGGAAAUCAGACGUGUCACUCAGUCUCUAGACUGUGUCAGUUGGCGUAAACAAAAAGCAAUCAAACCAACAGCAGUAAGCGUUUGAAGUGUUAGUAUACGUUUGUACUUUAGUUUGUUGUACUGUACUAGUCUAGUAGCUAGAGCACGUGAGUUUGCUCGCGUGCAUGCAUGCGUCCGUGAGCGUCCCUGUGUUCGUGCCUUCCUCUAGGUAACCGAUUACAUAUUAGACACAUUUUGUUAGGAUGUCUGUCUCGGCCAGUCAGAUUUGCUCGAAAAUCUGUACUACGCUGUCAAAUCAGUCUUGGUCGAGACACGUUUCCUAUGAUAUCUGUCACGCCGUCUCUACGUCCGUGCGAUUGCCGAUCCUCCUAACGACGUUGAUGAUCUCGGUCUCUCGGAAACCGAGAAGAGCGGUAUUCGUAAGAAAUCCAAACGAUUCCAGCUAGAUGAAGGGAUUCUCUACUUCCAAGACAAGAAACAAUCAACACGCAGACUAUUACUUAAACGUGUUAGUCCUUGACUCGUAAAUGUGUCACUGAGUGUGGUAAUGGAUCAGCAGGUGCAGCUGUUGGCUCAUAUGGUAGUGCACAGUUUUCUGAACCGGGAGGUUUAUGUGUGUCACACAACUGCUGCAAGCUCUAUGUGGCUGACACCGACAAUCAUGUACUAGGAUUGUAGACCUAGAAUCAAAACUUGUUUCUCAGUUGGUUGUCAGAGAGGCUGCUGUUGUAGAGUCUGAAGUUAAGCAAGUCAAUGAGAAACGUGUGGCUUCUAGAGGAACUGCUGUCACUCAACUGCCUUCAUUGUGUAUGAGAGAUGGGAUUACAAGGAACAUUCGGUUGCACGUUGAGCUUUCUGCAGGCUGUCAUUUUACUGAGGGAGCUACGAGUCGUUGGAAAAUUGUUAUUCCAGGAGGAUGCCCCAUUAAAGUGUUGGGUGACAAAUCUGGUUCAAUAAGUUCCAUCCAAGAUGUUUGUAUUUCUCUGUCUUGCACUUCAGCAGUCCAUAACUGAAACAUCAUUUGAGGUUGAUGCUGUGGUAUAUUUCUGUGAGGAGUCAGGCGUGUGUCGUGUACAGGGUGCAAAAUUUCAGUUUCAAGUCGAUGUUUUGGAAAGCAGUGAGAUAUCAGGUUUGCAUAAUGAUUAUAUGAUGACUAUUGAAUGUAAAGUGUAAGAAUGAGCUUUUCACUAGAGAAAGCUAAUUGGUAUAGGUAAUGAACUUAAUUAGCUGUCUUUUGUUUUUAGAAUUGCCUAGAAAUUUAUUCAUUAAAUGAACAUGAAAUAUUCGAUUGUAUGCCUGUGUUAAUUCCUUUUGCCAAAUA